CGCUCAUCCAGAGGGACUGAGGGAACGGCCCGUUGAAGUCCCGGCAACCCCCCUGCCAAGCGGUUCGCGUCGAACGACGUGCGCCCGGCCGGGAAGGUGCCAAUUCCGGCCCGUGGCGAAACGCGCCCCGGGGAAGAUGAGGA
rnacentral:ncRNA from 1 species